CGUAGGGUGCAAGCGUUGUCCGGAAUUAUUGGGCGUAAAGAGCUCGUAGGCGGUUUGUCACGUCGGAUGUGAAAAUCCAGGGCUCAACCCUGGACCUGCAUUCGAUACGGGCAGACUAGAAUUCGGUAGGGGAGUCUGGAAUUCCUGGUGUAGCGGUGAAAUGCGCAGAUAUCAGGAGGAACACCGGUGGCGAAGGCGGGACUCUGGGCCGAUAUUGACGCUGAGGAGCGAAAGCGUGGGGGAGCGAACAGGAUU
rnacentral:rRNA from 1 species